AUUGAACGCUGGCGGCAGGCCUAACACAUGCAAGUCGAGCGGAUGAAGGGAGCUUGCUCCUGGAUUCAGCGGCGGACGGGUGAGUAAUGCCUAGGAAUCUGCCUGGUAGUGGGGGAUAACGUCCGGAAACGGGCGCUAAUACCGCAUACGUCCUGAGGGAGAAAGUGGGGGAUCUUCGGACCUCACGCUAUCAGAUGAGCCUAGGUCGGAUUAGCUAGUUGGUGGGGUAAAGGCCUACCAAGGCGACGAUCCGUAACUGGUCUGAGAGGAUGAUCAGUCGCACUGGAACUGAGACACGGUCCAGACUCCUACGGGAGGCAGCAGUGGGGAAUAUUGGACAGUGGGCGAAAGCCUGAUCCAGCCAUGCCGCGUGUGUGAAGAAGGUCUUCGGAUUGUAAAGCACUUUAAGUUGGGAGGAAGGGCAGUAAGUUAAUACCUUGCUGUUUUGACGUUACCAACAGAAUAAGCACCGGCUAACUUCGUG
rnacentral:rRNA from 1 species